AAGGGCACCACAAGAACGCGUGGAGCAUGUGGCUUAAUUUGACUCAACGCGGGAAAUCUUACCGGGUCCGGACACACUGAGGAUUGACAGGUUCUAUUAAAUGUAACUAUUUUUUGUUUAUUUUAUGUUAAAUAUGCUAGUCCUUUCAUGAUUAUGUGAUAGGUGGUGCAUGGCCGUUCUUAGUUCGUGGAGUGAUCUGUCUGCUUAAUUGCGUUUCACUAAGGGCUUAUAUAAACGUGUAUUGCAGCGCUUUGACCCCUAUUUUAUUUAUUUAUUUUAGUGCGUGUCUUAGUUGUUUUGCUCACACAUUUAAGUCCUGAAAGCAACGAACGUGACCGCAACCUCUUGUUGCCUUUUGCACACUACUACAUUAAUAUUUUUUAUUUUUGUAGAAAGAGAGGCUUUUAAACUAGAGGGACCGCUGUAUUUCUUUUAAACCAGAGGAAGGUUGCGGCAAUAACAGGUCUGUGAUGCCCUUAGAUGUUCCGGGCUGCACACGUGCUACAAUGAUUAUUGCAGUGAGCAUCUCAUUUAAUACACCGCUUGUGCGAUUCCAGUUUUUUAACUGCGAUUUUUGCACGCGGUAAAGCCUGCUUCGAAAGUAAGUGGGUAAUCAAUUAGAAGUAAUGAUUUCCUUUUUAGCACACAUAUAUACGGCAUUGAAACCCGGAGUAAUUUUUACAUUGCUUUUUGUGUGUUUCUUUGUUUUUCCGUAUGUGCAAUUGUCAAUUCAUGGUGGGGACAGACCAUUGUUAAUUGUUGGUCUCGGUCUUAACUAGGAAUGCCUUGUACGGGUCUUUGGUUCAACAGACCACCCGGAAUACGUCCCUGCCCUUUGUACACACCGCCCGUCGCUCUUACCGAUGGACUUCUCUGUGAGUUUGAGGGACUGGAAUUUUAUUUUGCAUUUUUUUGCUUAUAAUACCUCUAUGGAAACUUAAACGAACAGUGUGGUCUAAAGGGAAGAGAAGUCGAACAAGGCA
rnacentral:rRNA from 1 species